rnacentral:rRNA from 1 species
GCGGCCUAUCAGCUUGUUGGUGAGGUAAUGGCUCACCAAGGCGACGACGGGUAGCCGGCCUGAGAGGGCGACCGGCCACACUGGGACUGAGACACGGCCCAGACUCCUACGGGAGGCAGCAGUGGGGAAUAUUGCACAAUGGGCGAAAGCCUGAUGCAGCGACGCCGCGUGAGGGAUGACGGCCUUCGGGUUGUAAACCUCUUUCAGCAGGGACGAAGCGCAAGUGACGGUACCUGCAGAAGAAGCACCGGCUAACUACGUGCCAGCAGCCGCGGUAAUACGUAGGGUGCGAGCGUUGUCCGGAAUUAUUGGGCGUAAAGAGCUCGUAGGCGGUUUGUCGCGUCGACUGUGAAAACCUACAGCUUAACUGUGGGCUUGCAGUCGAUACGGGCAGACUUGAGUUCGGUAGGGGAGACUGGAAUUCCUGGUGUAGCGGUGAAAUGCGCAGAUAUCAGGAGGAACACCGGUGGCGAAGGCGGGUCUCUGGGCCGAUACUGACGCUGAGGAGCGAAAGCGUGGGGAGCGAACAGGAUUAGAUACCCUGGUAGUCCACGCCGUAAACGGUGGGAACUAGGUGUGGGGGACUUCCACGUCCUCCGUGCCGUAGCUAACGCAUUAAGUUCCCCGCCUGGGGAGUACGG